rnacentral:lncRNA from 1 species
GUGUCACAAUGUCUCCUGUUAAGUUGUCAGGAUUGGGGCACCAACGUGGUUGCCAUAGUCACUCUUAGCAGUGGCCUAUGGUUGCUGGCCUGAGAGCAUAGUUCUAAGUUCCCAGGAUAAUUAACAAAAUAGUAAUGAAAUAGGCUAUUCUGACUGUCAUCUUUUUUUGAACUAAAUUUCUGAUGAGUAUGAAGAGAUUUUUAGCCUUAAAUUGUUUGUGAUAAUUAGGGUAACACUAUCUUAAAUAUUUGAAGUGAGUGAAAUGUCCUUCUAUGAUGUAACAUUUGCAAGUGUGGCAUUUAGUCACCAAUGAAGUAUCUCUCAAAGUAAGUUACAUUAGGCAAUCAUUAUUGCUGUUUUAUAUAUAUUAGAAAGAAACCCUUUUAUGAAGCAGAAUUUGGUCUCUUUAAAUUGUUUUUCCCUGCGUGGAGGACUAGAAGCAGGAAGAAGACUCAUUAAGCCAGACAUUCAGUUGCCGGGGAGGCGAGGGACCUCAGCACGCCAGGAAGUUAAUGGCACCCCAGCUUGGGAGCUUCAGGUUGCCAGCGGAAGAGAAAAUGAGAGGGGGCUCAAACAAGAAAAGCAUGAUGAUAAAACUGACAACGCAAGGAUGCUAACUGGCUGA